rnacentral:rRNA from 1 species
GUGUCAGCAGCCGCGGUAAUACGUAGGGUGCAAGCGUUGUCCGGAAUCACUGGGUGUAAAGGGUCCGCAGGCGGGCAAGCAAGUCGGUGGUGAAAUCUCGUAGCUCAACUACGAAACUGCCAUCGAUACUGCUUGUCUUGAGUUCGAGAGAGGAUGAUGGAAUUCAUGGUGUAGCGGUGAAAUGCGUAGAGAUCAUGAAGAACACCGGUAGCGAAGGCGGUCAUCUGGCUCGAUACUGACGCUCAGGGACGAAAGCGUGGGGAGCAAACAGGAUUAGAAACCCGCGUAGUCC